UACGGGGGGGGCAAGCGUUGUUCGGAAUUACUGGGCGUAAAGGGUUUGUAGGUGGCCGAUUAAGUCAUACGUGAAAUCCCUCAGCUUAACUGGGGAACUGCGUCUGAUACUGGUUGGCUUGAGUGCAGGAGAGGAACGCGGAAUUCCAGGUGUAGCGGUGAAAUGCGUAGAGAUGCGGAGGAACACCGAUGGCGAAGGCAGCCCCCUGGGUCGACACUGACGCUCAGGCACGAAAGCGUGGGGAGCAAACAGG
rnacentral:rRNA from 1 species